GGCUCUGUGGCGCAAAUGGAUAGCGCAUUGGACUUCUAAUUCAAAGGUUGUGGGUUCGAGUCCCACCAGAGUCG